CUGGGCUGCACGCGCGCUACACUGAUGCACUCAACGAGUUACAGAACCUUGUCCGGAAGGUCUAGGUAAUCUUUUGAGCAUGCAUCGUGAUGGGGAUAGAUUAUUGCAAUUAUUAAUCUUCAACGAGGAAUGCCUAGUAGGCGCAAGUCAGCAGCUUGCGCCGAUUACGUCCCUGUGCUUUGUACACACCGCCCGUCGCUGCAACCGAUCGGAGGGUCCUGUGAAUUCAUCGGACUGACUUGCUGGUUCUGCCUGCUGGUCGGGAAGUUGCGUAAAUAGAGCCCUCUAAAGGAUGCAAAAGUCGUAACACGGUUUCCGUAGGUGAACCUGCGGAAGGAUCAUUC
rnacentral:rRNA from 1 species